rnacentral:rRNA from 1 species
AUACGUAGGGGGCGAGCGUUGUCCGGAAUGAUUGGGCGUAAAGGGCGCGUAGGCGACCCGGUAAGUCUGGAGUGAAAGUCCUGUUUUUAAGAUGGGAAUUGCUUUGGAUACGGUCGGGCUUGAGUGCAGGAGAGGUAAGUGGAAUUCCCAGUGUAGCGGUGAAAUGCGUAGAGAUUGGGAGGAACACCAGUGGCGAAGGCGACUUACUGGACUGUAACUGACGCUGAGGCGCGAAAGUGUGGGGAGCAAACAGGAUUAGAUACCCUGGUAGUCCACACUGUAAACGAUGAAUGCUAGGUGUAGGGGGUAUCGAUCCCUUCUGUGCCGCACUCAACACAACAAGCAUGCCGCCUGGGGAGUACGGCCGCAAGGUUGAAACUCAAAGGAAUUGACGGGG